UCUAAUGUUCGAAGACUCACUAAGACGAAUCACUAUGGGUUGUAUUUUGUGGUGGUUGUAAUAACUGGAUUUAUUAUGUAUAUGGUAUUUUGAGUUAUUAUAUACUACACUACUUUGUUAUGUUAACUCUGUUUAGUAUUGGUGUUACUAAAUUCCUCUGUGUUUGGAAGUGCAGGUGUGCAUGCCGCUCGUCAUUUGUCAUUAUUUGGUCUCGGUCUCUGAGGUACGAGUGCUAGGUGGAAGUAGCAAGCAUGUGGACUUAUUUGCCCGACUUUCGCUCCUCCUUGUCCGUCUCACUCUUGUCUUCUGUAAAUUAUGGACGGUCGCGAGUGGAUGCGGCUCAGCAUGGAUUGUGGGGAUGUUGUGUGACUGGAGGAGGCAGUCUGUGACAAGGUGGGGCGCGACUGGAGGAGGCUGUGACGAGCUGGGAUGUGGCUGGACGAAGCAGCCAUUGACAAGCUGGGGCUUGGUUGUGGCGUCUGCUGCUACUUGCCCAAGGGCACAGGUCGAUACUGAGUUGCCGAUCCAAAGGCCUGGCUCAGGAGUGAUCCUGUGCCACCUGUACCAUCAAGAUCAAGAUCUAGGAAGUUCUCUAUUCAGUUUUGAUGGUUGUUGGUGGCCAUUUUGUGACUGACAGCAGGCGACUGGCAAAGCUAGGAGCUACAGUUGGAACACGGCUGUUGCAGAGCCUCAUCUCCAGCACUACAAUGGGACAAGGAGGAAAGUGUGUGGUGCUUUGGAGAAUGAACUCAAGCGCUCAACAUGUCAUGAAUUAGGAGGCACGUGAAGUAAGUGGAUAAGACUGCUACUGAGGGAAGUCAAGUGGUAAUUGAGCUGCAAGUCCCAUCUGUCCCUAACAUCUGAUGAAGAGUGCCUGAGUGCUGGUGCACCAGACGACAGCGAGGCACUCUGACUGACACAAAGGCCUCCCCAGCUGUAGGUGCCAACAAUGAAGCAAAAGACUUCUAGAGCUUGAGGGGCUGUGGCUGGGUCCAGAGAGAGAGAGAGAGAGAGAGAGAGAGAGAGAGAGAGAGAGAGAGAGAGAGAGAGAGAGAGAGAGAGAGAGAGAGAGAGAGAGAGAGA